rnacentral:misc_RNA from 1 species
AACUUUCAGCAAUGGAUCACUUGGCUCUCGCAUCGAUGAGGAACGCAGCGAAAUGCGAUAAGUAAUGUUAAUUGCAGAUUUUCAGUGAAUCAUCGAAUCUUUGAACGCACCUUGCGCCCCUUGGUAUUCCGAGGGGCAUGCCUGUUUGAGUGUGAUUAAAUUCUCAACUCCGAUUUGAUUUGUUUCUAAUCGGAGCUUGGACUUGGAGUGUGCUGGCGUCUAGUCGGCUCCUCUCAAAUGCCUCAGCGGAAUCUAACCUUUGGUUUCCGGACGUCGGUGUGAUAAUAAAGUUGCGCCGUCGCUUGACUUCAAAGUCCGCUUAUAAUGGUCUUCGGACAAACUCUUAUAUAAAAUUUGACCUCAAAUCAGGUAGGACUACCCGCUGAACUUAAGCAUAUCAAUAAGCGGAGGCU